UGUUCCCUUCCUGCCCUCAGAACUGCACCACAGCCCCCACCAUGCAGUCCGCCCUUACUUUGGUUUCCAUCCUAACCCUGCUCCAAGGUGUCCAGGGUGAUGUCCAGCUAGUGGAGUCUGGUGGAGACGUGAGACAGCCUGGGGGGUCACUGCGCCUCUCCUGUAAAGCCUCCGGAUUCUCCUUCAGUAGCAGCUACUAUAUGAGCUGGGUCCGCCAGGCUCCAGGGAAGGGGCUGGAGUGGGUCUCUGUUAUUAGAGGUGAUGGGGGCUACAUAUACUACGCAGACUCUGUGAAAGGCCGAUUCACCAUCUCCUUGGACAAGGCCAACAGCAUGGUUCAUCUUCAGAUGAACAGCCUGAAAACUGAGGACAUGGCCCUGUAUUACUGUGCAAGAGGCAGACACAGUGAGAGAAACCACAUCCUGAGCCUGUCAGAAACCUGGGAGGAUAUCUGGGCUGCUGCAGGCAAUAGCACUAACUAUGACCCUUUCAUGAAUCAAAUGUCCAGAGACACGUCGAAGAACAAAUUCUCUCUGCAGAUGAACAGCCUGACAGUUGCAGACAUGGCCCUAUAUUACUGUGCUCAACACACAGUGUAUGGCAGUAUGGCAAUUAUGGGGCACCAUAUGGUUCUGUAA